CGGCGACAAGAUGGCGAAUAAACCGUCAACUUCUUCCGUGCUGCCUUUGAAAAGGAAAGCUACAUCAGAAAUGGAAAAGCCACUUCCCUCCGGGAAGUCUGUUAA